GCUUCCUUAGCUCAGUCGGCAGAGCGCAUCCAUGGUAAGGAUGAGGUCGCCGGUUCGAUCCCGGCAGGAAGCUCCA
rnacentral:tRNA from 1 species